UUAACACAUGCAAGUCGAGGGGCAGCACAGGUAGCAAUACCGGGUGGCGACCGGCGCACGGGUGAGUAACGCGUAUGCAACUUACCUAUCAGAGGGGGAUAACCCGGCGAAAGUCGGACUAAUACCGCAUGAAGCAGGGGCCCCGCAUGGGGAUAUUUGCUAAAGAUUCAUCGCUGAUAGAUAGGCAUGCGUUCCAUUAGGCAGUUGGCGGGGUAACGGCCCACCAAACCGACGAUGGAUAGGGGUUCUGAGAGGAAGGUCCCCCACAUUGGUACUGAGACACGGACCAAACUCCUACGGGAGGCAGCAGUGAGGAAUAUUGGUCAAUGGCCGAGAGGCUGAACCAGCCAAGUCGCGUGAGGGAUGAAGGUUCUAUGGAUCGUAAACCUCUUUUAUAAGGGAAUAAAGUGCGGGACGUGUCCCGUUUUGUAUGUACCUUAUGAAUAAGGAUCGGCUAACUCCGUGCCAGCAGCCGCGGUAAUACGGAGGAUCCGAGCGUUAUCCGGAUUUAUUGGGUUUAAAGGGUGCGUAGGCAGCCUUUUAAGUCAGCGGUGAAAGUCUGUGGCUCAACCAUAGAAUUGCCGUUGAAACUGGGAGGCUUGAGUAUGUUUGAGGCAGGCGGAAUGCGUGGUGUAGCGGUGAAAUGCAUAGAUAUCACGCAGAACCCCGAUUGCGAAGGCAGCCUGCCAAGCCAUUACUGACGCUGAUGCACGAAAGCGUGGGGAUCAAACAGGAUUAGAUACCCUGGUAGUCCACGCAGUAAACGAUGAUCACUAGCUGUUUGCGAUACACUGUAAGCGGCACAGCGAAAGCGUUAAGUGAUCCACCUGGGGAGUACGCCGGCAACGGUGAAACUCAAAGGAAUUGACGGGGGCCCGCACAAGCGGAGGAACAUGUGGUUUAAUUCGAUGAUACGCGAGGAACCUUACCCGGGUUUGAACGCAUUCGGACCGAGGUGGAAACACCUUUUCUAGCAAUAGCCGUUUGCGAGGUGCUGCAUGGUUGUCGUCAGCUCGUGCCGUGAGGUGUCGGCUUAAGUGCCAUAACGAGCGCAACCCUUGCCACUAGUUACUAACAGGUAAAGCUGAGGACUCUGGUGGGACUGCCAGCGUAAGCUGCGAGGAAGGCGGGGAUGACGUCAAAUCAGCACGGCCCUUACAUCCGGGGCGACACACGUGUUACAAUGGCGUGGACAAAGGGAAGCCACCUGGCGACAGGGAGCGAAUCCCCAAACCACGUCUCAGUUCGGAUCGGAGUCUGCAACCCGACUCCGUGAAGCUGGAUUCGCUAGUAAUCGCGCAUCAGCCAUGGCGCGGUGAAUACGUUCCCGGGCCUUGUACACACCGCCCGUCAAGCCAUGGGAGCCGGGGGUACCUGAAGUCCGUAACCGCGAGGAUCGGCCUAGGGUAAAACUGGUGACUGGGGCUAAGUCGU
rnacentral:rRNA from 1 species